GCGGCCGCCACCAGCCGGAAUAGCAACCGGCGGAGCCCGUGCGCACCGCAGCGCAGCGCAGCGGCCGGGGGGUGCGGGCGCCCUCGCCGCCCGGCUACCUACCGCCGCCUGGGCGCCGCCGCUGCCUCCCUUCCCCGCUUCUACCCUCCAGCAGACGCCCGCCGGAGCGACCCCUCCCAGGGUGACCGGGGGAAGGUGUUCCACGUGGCCAUAGCGUUUGCGUCACAAUGACCUGGCGGACAGGUGGGAGCCACAGCGUACACCCCAGGGUUCCCUCUGUGCUGUGCGUAGUGCCUACUGCUUGCUUCCAGGUUAAAUUUCUGUAGCUUUAGAGGACAGGAGACUUCAUGACUUCACUGCCAAGAAAAGUUACAGAGGCCUGCUGUACCUGGAAAUCAAGUUUGAGCUUCGAGAAUAAAGGUCAUGUUUUAAAAACAGCUGUAACACCAGUAAGGUGCUAGUGAGAACCCGAAACAGUUUCUAAGGAGAAUGGCUAUUGAAUGAUGGGAUCAGAAAUUAGGAGAGAAAUAAGGACCCUGGGCCAGGGAAAGAAAUGAAUGAAGAUGCCACCUUAUGCCCAGAACACAUCUCUCAUUCAAUGAUAAAGGAUUUGUGGUUGGGUCAACUUUUGUGAUGCUCAACUCUUUCCUUCGUAAGGACGGGCUCUUUCUCAGGAGGCUUUUGUACUCCCAAUUAACGCACUGCUAAUCUGAUGAAGCUCUAUUUUGUAGCUAUGCCAUCUGGAUCACAUAGCCUCCAAGGCCAGCAGAGCAGAGGAAGACAAAGAGCAGAGCAAGAUAGAGGUGGAAGUUACACGUCCUUUGUGCUUACUUUCUACUGGCCUCAUCGGGUCGCAAGAUCCCACUCUGAUAGGUGCAUGGGGGCUUGGAAAAUUAGAAAAACAUGUGAAUAUUUGCAAUGCUUUCAGUAACCUGGAGAGGUACACAUGGCUGGUAUAACAAUUAUCUUCAUUUAAUGAUGUGGAAACACCUACCACAAGUCCUGGCACAUUGAGGGUCUUGAAUAAAUUCUGUCAGAUGAACGGACAAGCGCACAAAAGGUUGAAAGAGUGA